rnacentral:pre_miRNA from 1 species
UUGUCAAAGUUGUUUCUUGGCACUGGGAGAAUUCACAGUCGAUACAUUAGAAUUCUGUGGUUCUUUGGGUGCCAAAACUCAAUACUGGCAU